rnacentral:rRNA from 1 species
GGCGGACGGGUGAGUAACGCGUGGGUAACCUGCCCUAUACACAUGGAUAACAUACUGAAAAGUUUACUAAUACAUGAUAAUAUAUAUUUACGGCAUCGUAGAUAUAUCAAAGUGUUAGCGGUAUAGGAUGGACCCGCGUCUGAUUAGCUAGUUGGUGAGAUAACUGCCCACCAAGGCGACGAUCAGUAGCCGACCUGAGAGGGUGAUCGGCCACAUUGGAACUGAGACACGGUCCAAACUCCUACGGGAGGCAGCAGUGGGGAAUAUUGCACAAUGGGCGCAAGCCUGAUGCAGCAACGCCGCGUGAACGAUGAAGGUCUUCGGAUCGUAAAGUUCUGUUGCAGGGGAAGAUAAUGACGGUACCCUGUGAGGAAGCCCCGGCUAACUACGUGCCAGCAGCCGCGGUAAUACGUAGGGGGCUAGCGUUAUCCGGACUUACUGGGCGUAAAGGGUGCGUAGGUGGUCUUUCAAGUCGGUGGUUAAAGGCUACGGCUCAACCGUAGUUAGCCUCCGAAACUGGAAGACUUGAGUGCAGGAGAGGAAAGUGGAAUUCCCAGUGUAGCGGUGAAAUGCGUAGAUAUUGGGAGGAACACCAGUAGCGAAGGCGGCUUUCUGGACUGCAACUGACACUGAGGCACGAAAGCGUGGGUAGCAAACAGGAUUAGAUACCCUGGUAGUCCACGCUGUAAACGAUGAGUACUAGGUGUCGGGGGUUACCCCCCUCGGUGCCGCAGCUAACGCAUUAAGUACUCCGCCUGGGGAGUACG